AGAGUUUGAUCAUGGCUCAGAAUCAACGCUGGCGGCGUGCCUCAGACAUGCAAGUCGAACGAUUAAACUCGUCUUCGGACGAGAUAUAAAGUGGCGCACGGGUGAGUAACACGUAGGUAAUCUACCUUUGAGUGGGGAAUAACUUAGGGAAACUUAAGCUAAUACCGCAUAAUGCAGCGGCACCUUCGGGUGACAGUUGUUAAAGGAGCAAUCCGCUUAAAGAGGAGCCUGCGGCAGAUUAGCUAGUUGGUAAGGUAAUGGCUUACCAAGGCGACGAUCUGUAACCGACCUGAGAGGGUGGUCGGUCACACUGACACUGAAUAACGGGUCAGACUCCUACGGGAGGCAGCAGUCGGGAAUUUUGGGCAAUGGGCGAAAGCCUGACCCAGCAACGCCGCGUGAAGGAUGAAGUAUUUCGGUAUGUAAACUUCGAAAGAAUGGGAAGAAUAAAUGACGGUACCAUUUAUAAGGUCCGGCUAACUACGUGCCAGCAGCCGCGGUAAUACGUAGGGACCAAGCGUUGUUCGGAUUUACUGGGCGUAAAGGGCGCGUAGGCGGCGUGUUAAGUCAGCUGUGAAAUCUCCGAGCUUAACUCGGAACGGUCAGCUGAUACUGAUGUGCUAGAGUGCAGAAGGGGCAAUCGGAAUUCUUGGUGUAGCGGUGAAAUGCGUAGAUAUCAAGAGGAACACCUGAGGUGAAGACGGGUUGCUGGGCUGACACUGACGCUGAGGCGCGAAAGCUAGGGUAGCAAACGGGAUUAGAUACCCCGGUAGUCC
rnacentral:rRNA from 1 species